UUAAUACUUCCUCCAUCUAACAAAGCAUGUCUCAACUUUGACCAAAUUUGAAUGUAUCUAUAUAAUAAGUCAUGUCUAGAUACAUCUAAAUUUUAACAAACUUGAGACAUCUUUUGUUGCACGGAGGGAGCAUAAG
rfam:Brachypodium distachyon strain Bd21 chromosome 3, whole genome shotgun sequence.